AUAUAAAGCAAACAUAAAAUAAUUGAUAUUAUAUAAUAAUAACUAUGAUGUUUCAUGUGAUGUGCCAGCUCCUCUUCUUUCUAUUUUAUAAAUGUUGCACGCUAGGAGUAUGUUGCAAUUUACAUUUUUGAACCAGGGCCCGUAUCCCUAAAGAUUCUGAGAAUCCUCUCAGAGAGCUCCUAACUUAACCUAAAAAUUCCUUGCCAGGAGUUUUAGCUUAGAAGUGAUUCCAGAACAUUUUCAGUGAACUCUGAGCAAGGAAUGGAUGGAAAAUCCUAUCUUAGUGAGGAGGUGUGGUUGACCCCGUUGCUAGGUAUGAGUCAUCAUUUCAAAAGCCGUGAUUGGUUGAUCCUACAAGUUUGAUGAAAAUGAACUUUUGGUGAUAAUGAGCAAAGGAUGUAACCUCAAAUCAAUAAACAUAAUUAUACACUCUAAUCUUAUGCAGACUGUAAUUGUAAAUAAUAUUUCACAUUCAAGAAAAUAUCUGGAAAAUGAAUAGUAAGCUGUAGGGGUUAUAGCCUAACAUUAGAAUCUAAAAUAUGUGAAAACUUAAGCUUAUUACACCCUGUUCAAAUAAUGAUUUGUGUCUUAUUUGCUCAGAUUAAUAUCCUAGCUGGCAUAUUUUGUACUUUCACUCCCAUAUGGACCCCACUGAAAACAAGAUGGCCUAUCUCAAGGGGCUGUCCUUAAUGAAGUAGAAAUUACAACGUUACAACUCAGUGUGGUCUUAACGAGGGUAACACGGCUCAGCUUUUAUCAAUGUCUGUGAUUGCUGGCUGGUCUAUUUAUGAAGGCUUGUUAACAAAUAUCCUACAAACACAGAAAAUGGAGAAAAAAAGGAAUCGCAAGCCGAACUGGACUGAGGAGCAAGGUUUGUUGCUGGCCCAGUUGGUGAACGAACAUAAAGGUAUGUUACGAGGAAAAUUUGGCCCAACUGUCACUAGCCAAGGCAAGAGGCGCGCCUGGGACACAAUAUCCCAAACAAUCAAUGCCUCUUUUCCACUGGUGGUGCGGACAGGCGACGAUUGUGAGAAAAGGUGGUAUGUGCUGCAGUCCAAGGCAAAAGAUGAGAUUGCAGCACACAAGCAGGAAUCCUCACUCACAGGGGGUGGACCACCUGCAAAGCGGCUGUCCCAGGUGGCCGACACUGUCUUUCAAGUCCUGGGACACUCUGAGGUCAGUGUCACCGGGCUGCCAACAGGCAUUGACACGUCAAUGAUGCAGGCCCUUGAAAUGCAGCAAAGGUAGGACACAGGGUUAUUCAUAUCAACAGUGUUUAUUCAUUGCAGAAGCCAUUUCAUGUGUUAUCCAUGCUCAUUGUAUUAAAUUAAUUUAAUCAAAACAAUAAUUAAACUAGGCCUAUGUAUUUCUGUAGCAUGGAGCCAUCACAAGAAC
ensembl:lncRNA